rnacentral:rRNA from 1 species
CCUACGGGAGGCAGCAGUGGGGAAUAUUGCACAAUGGGGGAAACCCUGAUGCAGCGACGCCGCGUGGGUGAAGAAGUAUUUCGGUAUGGAAAGCCCUAUCAGCAGGGAAGAAAAAUGACGGUACCUGACUAAGAAGCACCGGCUAAAUACGUGCCAGCAGCCGCGGUAAUACGUAUGGUGCAAGCGUUAUCCGGAUUUACUGGGUGUAAAGGGAUCGCAGGGGGCACGCUAGGCCUGAUGUGAAAACCCGCGGCCCAACCGCGGGAGUGCAAUGGGAACUGGCGAGCUUGAGUACCGGUGGGGCAGGCGGAAUUCCUAGUGUAGCGGUGAAAUGCGUAGAUAUUACGAAGAACACCAGUGGCGAAGGCAGCCUACUAAACGGAGACUGACGCUGAGGCUCGAAAGCGUGGGGAGCAAACAGGAUUAGAUACCCGAGUAGUC